CACCUCCAGACGAGGGAAGGGAAGCUGGCACUGUGCCUGGAGAAGCCAUUUCAGAUGCUUACUGGGUUGAUUCUGACCACAGAAUAGGAGAAUAUUCCCAUUUCCUCUCAAACUCUCUCAUGCAAGUUACCUGGGCCCUGCAGAGCAAGCACAAGGGCAGGCUUGGGAAGGAAAUAUAGAAGAAUUGUUCAUCAGACAACGAGAAUGCAGCUGCACAGAAUAGAGACAUAACACGGGAGCCUCAUGAAUCCAGAGCUACGCUGCGGGAGGCCAGGAGCAAAUAAAUAUUUCACAAAGUGUUAGCACAAGA